rnacentral:rRNA from 1 species
GCCUAUGCUCAUACCACUCUGAAUGUGCCUGAUCGCAUCUGAUCUUGAAAGCUAAGCAGGGUCUGGACUGGUUAGUACUUGGAUGGGAGACCAAAUAGUAACAAUAAAAUGUCUUGUCU